rnacentral:tRNA from 1 species
GUGAUCGUAGCCGAGUGGUUCAGGCGCAGGGUUGUGGCCCCUGCUACGGUGGGUUCGAGCCCCCCCGAUCACCCCA